GCCCAGCACUGAAUCCCGCCGUUGUAACGGCGGCGGGAGAUGUGGUGUUCGGGAGGUUCCGCUUUCUUGUCGUCGUCCACUCCUGUCCAAGUUCGUCUUGAACGGGGCCCAUUUCCCACAGAGGGUGCCAGGCCCGUAGCGACGGAGGACGGCGGCGAGAGGGACUCUCCUCAGAGUCGGGUUGCUUGAGAGUGCAGCCCUAAGUGGGUGGUAAACUCCAUCUAAGGCUAAAUAUUACCGCGAGACCGAUAGCGAACAAGUACCGU
rnacentral:rRNA from 2 species